rnacentral:lncRNA from 1 species
GCGUCCCGUCCGGCCUUCCCGGGCCUGUCACUUGGGCGGUGGCGUGGGAGCGGCGAGGCUGCUCGGGGGGCAGCCGGGUGGGCCCAGCUCUAGGGGAGAUUCCGGUCAGCCCCUGAGCCCAGCCUCCCGGCUGUGCCUGCUGGAAGCAGACGGAGGGAAGGCCGGGCGUCUUUGGCCCACCGCGCGGCCGCUCCCCUCCCGGGCCAGGCUGAACGGGCGGGCGCAGCCCAGAGGCCCGGGCCCUGCCACCGAUCCGCCUCCAUACUGACCCGAGCUGCGGCGCCUGCAAGAUUAAUGAAGCAUCCGCGAUUCGGUAGAGGCGGCACGGGGAGGAAAGACACAAGAUCGUGCUGCGCCCCUCUCCCCACCCUUCUCAGCCUCCUAGGACCUAAAGGCGUAGGCUGCGUCUGCUGGGCGCGUCCGGAGUGGUCCAGAGAGAUCGCCAUCCACCACUGCAUCCGUCCAGUUCUUUGUGGACCCUCACAGAAGCUCGAUCAAUUUCCCACCCUCUGGAAAAGGGUAUUUUUCUCUUCCCUGGCAUAUUGGGUGUUUCUUGUGUGCACCUAAUUGAUCUUUUUCCAUUGAUAGCCUUUGGAUGACUUUUGUGCGGCUUCCCCGCGCUUCACUGCUCCCUCAUUGCCUUAGACACGCGAGGAAUGUCAGGCCCCCAGAGUGAGAACACCCAAGAAAACAAUAGGGGCAAAAGAUCCUCCCUGGGCCUCGCGGAUUAUGCACAAACCAGAUCAUUUCCCACAUUCGGCCAGGGUGAAGAUGGAAAAUGGAAAAGAACGCCAUCAGAGCGGUGACACUGACGAGAAAAGCCAAUUCAUAAUUUAGUUUAAUGAAAUGAGUUAGUAAUCAACCACUAAUGUCUAGGAAAUUGGCCUUUUUUGAAAACUGGUUUUCCCUUUCUCCACCCUUUUUUUUUUUUUUUUCAAAUUAAAAGACUAGUAUCCCA